CUUCCGGUCGACUUCCUUGGGCACUGGAAACAAGUCGAGGCUUGGACCCGGAAACGGCGUUCCUUACGUCACGACCAGAGCCGUUGAAAAACAGAGUUGCGACACUCCCAUAGACUUCCAUAGGAACUUUGGAAUGCGGAAGUAACGCGUGUCGUGGAGCCGCCGAUAGUUCCAAACGCUGAUAGUUCCAGCGCUGAACCCCAUUCAUUUUCAGUGAUUCCGAAGUUCGCUCGCUGUUCUGUCCAGCAGCGGGUUUGACUCGACUCCAGACCCGGUCUCCUCUGGGCUCUGACACAGGCCCUGUUUCCACCUGGAGUUUAGAUGCAUUUUGGUUGAUUGGAUCACAAGUGGACGAGGGAGACACAUACACGUUUACACCUGGUGUUUUAAUCCAUCUCUUUUGUCCUCUUUCAACCACUUCUGUCCCGAUUUCUUCAAGGUGGUGGGUAAACGUAUGGGUUUUUACAGAUCUUUCAAUUUAAUAGACAAAAUAAGCUUGAGCAGUUAACAUAUGAACACUCCCAGAGAUGACAGGAAAACAUACAGAGAGCAUCAGUGUUUGUUUCUGCUCUGACAGCCGUGAGAACAGCUGAACGAGUGAGUGUGUGUUAGAAAUCAGUAAUGGUGAGAGAACAUUGUGCUUGGUACGUUUUUCCAUCUUCAAACCAAACUUGGGUCUUCAGCCAACAAAGUUUAAAUCCAAUCUAGCUAGCGUGCUUCCCAUAAUGUUUACCCAUUAGGUCAGUAGGCGGAGAGUAGACGGUCUUUAGUGGCGGUUCGAACACAUUCGACCACAUGAGCGUUUACAAUAUGAAAGCAGUCCGGUUGAAUGCAUUUUCAAAUACCUCUGGAAGUGGUCGAAAGUGGACAAACUCAAACCGUUUUAGACCCCAUUUACACCUGUAUUUAGUGUCGUGCACUUGUGAUCAGAUCAGCCAAAACGCAUCUUAACACCAGGUGGAAACAUGCCCACAGUCUGCUUCUGGCAGUGGAAUGCUCUUACCCAAAAAUUCAAGUAACUAUAGAAUUACCUAUAGUGUGGAGUUUGAAUGCUUUUGUUAUCACUGUAUGUAUAAGCAUUUGACUGCUCCUUGAUUCACCACCAGGUCUCCAGAUCAUCCUACGGCUGCGCUAGAAGAAUGUAAUGGCUAUUGUGAACACUUAUCAUUUUCUGGCCUGCUUUCUGCCAUCUUUCUCUCCCUGUAGGAAGUCGAAUGAGUUUCUUUGAAGACAGAACAUUCAAGGAAAACUUACCUACCCUCUCCCUGGAUAUAAUAUAUAAUUAAAUGUUUUGUUGAAUG